GUAGCCAUGUAGGUAUACUACUUUCAACGUAAGUAUAGGUAAUAUGCUAAUAAUUAAAUUUUUAACAUUUAUUUGAUAAUAAUUAGAGCCAAAAUUUUUCAAGUACCAACUUAUGGUUUUAUUUUACUAAGCUAAAGAAUGGCUGGAAGAAAAUCUAAGAUUGACAGUAAAAUAAUUGAUGAAGAAAUUUUCAAGCACAAAAAUGCUGUUUUAGGUGAAAACAAAAGUAUUCUAGAAAUUUUAGACAGUGUUUGACAAACAAUUUAUACAAAGAAUAAAAUAUUUUAAUUUUUGCUGUAUUGUUCGUGUUCAUGUGGUAAUAUUAAAUAGAAAUUACUUAAAAUUUUAACUUGGAUUUCUCCCAUUGAUAGAAGCACCAUGUCCACUCGAAGAAACCAAUAUUGGUAAGUAACUAAAUUUAAAUUUAUCAAUUGUAUUUAUAUUUUGUGUGUUCUAAAUAUAAAAUAUAUUUUUGAUAAUCUAUCAUGUUCUGAUGAAAGCGAUACUGGCAAAGAAAAAAAUCAAGAAAAGUUUAAUUGAUAUGGUAAAACAAGGUAUUAGUUAGGUGUAUUAAUUUUGAUUUAAUUAAAAAAAAGUGAACAUUUCUCUAAAAAAAUGAAUGAUCAACUUAAUAAUAUGAAUUUUCCAGAUAAUUUAGCAGUAAAAUAUAAGCUACCUAUAGUAAGAAAUAUAGAGAAAAAAAUGUAUGUCGAAAUGUGUGAAGAUAAAAUACCUCAGUUGUUAAUUUACAAAUUCAGAAUAAAUACUUUUCGAGUUAUAUUGGAUCAGAUUAGAAAAAGUUUAAACAGGCGUUUUUCAAUUAAUAAGAAAUCAAUAACUGAUAUUCAAUUCAUAGUACCUAAUAAUUUUUACUCUCUACAAAGUAUGCCAAAUAAAUUAACAAACAUAGAACUUGAUCAAUUAAAACUGGAACUUCAAAAUUUUUCAAAUGUAUACCCAAACUUAAAUAAUUUUAUAGAGAAGAGUACAAAACUAAUAUACUCGGAGCCUGAAACAGAUGAGGAAAGUGAGAUAGAAUUAGAACUGGAAAACAAAGAAGUUAAUGGGAUAAAUGAAAUUAUGUUUCUUUGUAAGAUGAAUAGUGUAUAUUAUAUCUGUUUUAUUUAAUCAUUAUUAAUAAUUGUUAUUUAUGG